CUUCACCCUGGCCCCUCCACUGCUCUGCAUCGCCGGCCCCUACUUCCCCACUCUCCCGGGCCUCGGCCUGCAGGUGCUGGAGCCACCCCAGCAUGGAGCCCUGCAGAAGGAGGAUGGACCUCAAGCACCUUCUCCUGGAGAAUGGUGGAAGAGCAGCUGAUCCACGUACGUGCACGACGGGAGCAAGACACUGACAGACAGUUUUGUCCUGAUGGCUAACCCCUCCGAGAUGGACCACCAGAGCCAUCCUGUGGCCUUCACUGUCACUGUCCUGCCUGUCAAUGACCAACCCCCGGUCCUCACCACAAACACAGGCCUGCAGAUGUGGCAGGGGGCCACUGCGCCCAUCCCUGCGGAGGCUCUGAGGAGCACGGACGGCGACUCUGGGUCUGAGGAUCUGGUCUACACCAUCGAGCAGCCCAGCAACGGACGGGUAGUGCUGCGGGGGGCGCCGGGCACCGAGGUGCGCAGCUUCACGCAGGCGCAGCUGGACAGCGGGCUCGUGCUGUUCUCACACAGAGGAACCCUGGAUGGAGGCAUCCACUUUGGCUUCUCUGAUGACAAGCACACUUCCUCCGGACACUUCUUCUGAGUGAUGGCCCAGAAGCAAGUGUUCCUCUUGCUGGAGGGCAGCUGGACACUGACUGUCUGCCCAGG
rnacentral:lncRNA from 1 species